rnacentral:lncRNA from 1 species
AGGGGCUCCCCCCGAGAGCCUAGGGGGCCGCCGCGCCGUGUCCCGCGCCCGGCCUGCCGGGGCUGCUGGACUAGAGGGAUUGAUUAUUGAUUGGUGAUCGGGGUCGCUGAGGCUCCGGGCCGGCCCGGCCGACUGGCCGCGGCAAGAAGGAGCUGGCUGGGCGGCGUGGGCGGCGGGGCGACGCGGGCUCACUUACGGGCGGCGGUGAGGGCGCGGGUGGGCCGGAGCUCAUGCGGGCGACCCCCGGGCGGCGGCGGCUGAGCGGGAGCCGGAGCCCGAGCGGCGCGGGCGGCGGCGCAUCGAUGCGCUGCGGGCUCGAUUGCGUCUCCCUGGGCCAGCUCUCAGGCCGGGAAUGGGGCGGCCGCGCCGGGGCCGGCUCCGGGCGCUGCCGGGCGGCGGCUGCUGGAGCGCGGGGGCGGCCUCCGGGCCCACUAUCCCCGAGGCGGCCCUGCGCCCGGGCGCGCCGGCUGGGGCUCUGGCGCUCUCGCAGGCCCCGAGGCCGACAGUCCCGGCGAGGGCGGGCGCCCCGCGCUCCAGCACCGGCUGCCUGAGCGCUCCUGGAGCAGCAAACCCCAGACUUCUUCCUCCUUCUCUCCUUCCUUCCUUCCCCCUCCCCUUAUCUUUUUCUUUUUUUAGUCUCUUUCUCCCUCUUUUUCUGCCCUGUGUCCUUUUUAUUUUUUCUCUACGACUGUUUUUGCAAGUUUGUUUCAAAAGUUCACAGCAUGCUUUCUUUUCUUUUAGACCGGGAGACAGUGAUCUCACCCACACGGUAAGAUCAAAAGUCUCCGCUCGCCCAGCCUGCGGGCUUGGGCUGGGUCCAGACGUCUCCCAGGAUGCAGAUGCGCCGCCGCUGGCCUCCCCGGCUAUAAAGCCGCCUCCAGCGCCUUUCCGCGCGCAGGAGCGCUCGGAGUUGUGGGGUACGGACCCCAGGCGGGGCAGGGAGUCCGAGGCGGGCUGCGGCGGGGCUCUCGGGCUGGCGGACUCGGGGGCUGAGGCGCCGUGCGCGUUGGGUGCCCGCGGCCGCAGAGGCCAGAACCGCUACUCCUCCAGGCCGGGGAGACGCGGCCGUGGAGCGUGAAACGCUUCUUGCAAGCGAGGAAACGGUGAGUUGGCCGACACCGCCGGCGGCCUCACCAUUCUGGUGGCCGCGCUGAGCUCCUGUCGCCUGGAGGCGGGUUGCGCCGCACGGGGUCAGCUCCCGCCGGCUCCCAGCUCACCUUCGAAGCUCCCACUUAGGCGCGCCCGGUGCGGCGUGUGCACAGCGCGGGGCGCCGCACACGGAAGCGUGUAGUUCUCCCUGGUCGCGCUUUUCUCCUCCUUUCCAUCCCCUCGCUGUUCUUGCAAACCUCUGUUCCUUCGGCCCCCUCCCACUGCGGGCCGCGGCCUGAACUCGGGUCUCCGCGUAGCCGGCCGCCGCCGCUGGGUCGCUGCCUGGCCCUCCCCCGCUCAGGCGCCGAGCGCUGUGCGAUCCGCCCUAACAUCUGUCCGUCCAACCAUUGGCGCAUCCAUCAGUGUCAAUGGGCUGCACAUUGCAGCGACAGCCCGCCACGCACAACACGGGCUAUGCGGAGUGCACGCAGCAACCAUACUGCCAUGUCGGGACACGCAAAAAGGCCCCCGGCCUGGCUUGGCACAGCCUGAAGGCCUAAUCUGUGUUCUUUCAGCCACAUGUACCCACCCCCACUUAAUAUCUGGACCCCCAAACAUGAAUAGUUUUGCAGACCAUUGUAGGGAUGGAAUUGAAGGAAGAGGGGCAGUGUCGCCCGAGUCAUUAUUUUCCACCAGGUUUUCUCUGCCCUUGUGUGGGCUGGGUGUGGCUAGGAGAGAAGGAAGGGAGACUUCCCAAAUCCGCACCAAGCACACUGCAGAACCGGAAGCUACCUGGAUGCAAGGGCUUAAACCCCCUUCACCUGGGCCUAGGAUGUGUUGUCGAGGUCGCUGGCCAGGUUUUAGCCAGGAGGUCUCGCGCUAAAACUUUUUGGCCCCGCCUGGCUGCUGUGUGUGACAUGGCCUGAUGGAGAGGAGCUGGAGAGCGGAGGAAAACGUGGAUCCCAGUGAGAACUAAGGGCCAGAUUUAGGGAGAAAUAGUGUCUGGAUGGCAGUAAGUCUGUAAUUCACAUUUUGUUUACAAAGGGAGAAAGGGCAGGGCUGUAGGUUUGAGAAGCCAGAGGUUUGCGCGGAGUUCCGUGUGCCCAUUCCCCGAGAGUGCCGCUCUUGGCUGUAGUUGUUUGUUCUACCUGAUUUUGCCUCUUGCCUUCAACUCCCCCAUAACCCCUCCCCAAAUGUCCAGAGGGCAAACAUAUGCGCAUACCUCCCUGAUCAAUCCAGCCAGACCAAAGGGCCUUCCCUGUCCUCCCCCUAAGAACUUAAUGGGAAGAGUGUACGGGGGACCUACUCUUGGGACAUCUGCAGGGCGGCUGUACCAGGCGUUUUACCUGACUUUAUUCUUACCGCAAAGAUUUCCGUCUCGGUACCUGGUGCCCCCUCAGAGUCCACUACACAAACGGGUAAAAUCCCGCGCGGCUAUUCAUUUCGCCAUUCGCGAGUAAGAAGGGGAAAAGGAGCCGCUUCUAGGAGAGCACUGAGGUAUGCUCGGUUCGGUUCCCGAGGAGGCCAGAAGCGGCCGCGGCGGCGCGGGCUGGAGCUCCCUCCUGCAGGGAGACACCGCGCUCUAGGGUGCGGGCUUCGCCGCCCACAUCCAGUGGUCGAACUGUUUUCACGCUAGACUAGAGGGCGGAAAAGUCUGCGCCCGCGGAGAAACUAGAAUUCUGUAGAAUGUACACUGUGUAGAAAUCUUUUCACCCCACUCUUCAGAGUUGCAGAUUAUCUUUGAAAAACAACAGGCUCUGGCCCUGCCAGCCCUAGUAACUUCUACCCGCCUGAGUCACUCUGAAAAGUAAGCCCCUAGGCCAGUGAGAUGUCCCCACCUUUGGGAGGUGCCGCCUUUCCGGGAACAUUAAAAAAAAAACCCUAAAAAUAGAAGGAGGAAAAAUGAGCAAAGGCGGUGGGACGACUCACCGAAACACCGAGGUGCAAAUGUCCAUUGGAGAAACUGGCAGUCGCAUGGCAGCCAGCUGGCUCACCCAAUAGCUGGGUGGUAACCUUGUGAUCCCCAAACAUCCCCCAGGGCCAUGAAGGCAGUGCUGACCCCCACGAUUGCACCUCAGGCCCGGUGGAAUCCCGCUCCUCCUCCAUAGUGGUGCUAUGUAAUCAGUAGAAAAUCAGUAGAAAAGCUCCCAAAUGAAGCUGCUUCAGGUCAGGGGUUAGAAAUCUGCCUCAGACUUUUUGAACUCAAGGAAAUCGGGACAUCUGUCCCCAGAGCUACCUGUGCCCCACCCCAGGAUCAUUCAUGACCUUAGCUACCGGGAGCUCUGCCCGGAUAAGUUUUUAAAAGAGAGAGAGAAAGAAAAAAGUCACAUGCAGGCAAGGCUAGGAACAGGUGUGUGCUGUGGGGACGGGCACUUGGCUCGCAACACACCACACAAAGUCACGAAGUCUGUGCCAGAAAGGAGUAGCCAAACCACCGCCGGGAGGCAGCCGAGGUUGUGUUUAAGGUGGCGAUUGAGGGCAGUAGGUGACAACUCGACCCAAAGAAGGCCAAGUCUUGUCCUUAUCUGGGGUGGCCACUGAGGGAAAAGACUUAAGGGAAAGAAGUUGUCUUCAAAGCUACCAUUACAAGAUGAGGAGCUAGAGUGGGCUCAGGUCCCAGGCACCCAGGGCUUAAGCCUUGAUGUUGGAGAGGUUCUCGGAGGGAGGCUUGGGCCACCUGGAGGGACUGGGCACUCUGAGUAGUACCCUCUGGGAGGCUGUACCCCCUUUCAAAGUGUGAGGGCAUUUGCCCAAGGUGUAGGCUUUUAGGGAGCCCAGGGCUGGGCAGCACCAGGGGAGAGAGGCACCAGGUGGGUGCCCUCCUGCCUGCACUCACCUGGAAUGCUGGCAUAUGGGUUUUUCGCCUUCCUCACGCCUCCCCACACCACAUUCUGGGCUAGGCAGUGUCGAGGAGGUGCCUUGGGUUCAGGGAAGCUUGCCACCUGCACACCUGAACCAGGAAUUGGGCCCCGGAAUCUCAGCCCCUGCCCAAGCAGGAAGGAUAGGGACCCUGGCCCUCGCCAGGUGGUAAAUUGUUUGCUAAAAGUGCAUUUACACGGCGGCGAAGUUUGUUUCUCUUUUACCGGUAGCUUUGUUUUAACGAACCAGAUGUUUUGUCUGUAAAUUCUCCCAAGAACUUUUCCAGUUUUGACGUGAAAUAAACCUUCGAAAAUCAGAAGAGUAUAUUAAUACCACUUCUGUGGGGCCUCAGGAGAGCUGAGUCAGGUGUGCCUGGAUGGGAGCUGGGGGUGGGAGUACAAUCUUUGGAGAGAAGUAGGGGGCUUCUCUUGGCCCAAGGUCAAGAAUUGGUUUGGGGGAGGUGAAGUGCCUCCCCGACUCCCAAAACAGGCGCACACACACGCAUUGUCACACCAGAGUACGCACUCCCAGCCCUCCUCCAACCAGGCAUAGCUUGCUACUUCGUAAAUUUCUUGUGGCUUGGGGCACAGAGAUGUAGCUCAACUUUGCAGACUGUGUCCACUGCAUGCCGCUGCCGUUUUCCACGAGGACCGCCUGACUGAAAGGCAAAGGGGCCUUCGAUCUUCUUCCCGGGGCAGCUUUGAUGCCUGAGUGUGCGGGGCCGGGGCCGGGGCCAGGGCAGAGCAGGGUGGAAGCUGGUGCCCCUGUCUGGCCCACCCUUAACUCCUGGGCACCACUCGAUUCGGGAGAACUUGGGGUGGAAGCCGACCUGGUCUAGGAAGCCACAGCCUGCAGGUCCCCCUCUCCAAUGCCUCAUUUUUUCCGAUUUAGGAUUUCCAGGCAGUUAUAAACACCUUAAAAAAAAAGACCCACUUAACAAUACACCUAAAAGAGGGAGGGAAGGAAGGAAGGAGUACGGUUAUCACAGGCGUGUGGGGAGAGGGAAACCAGGUCUGCCUAGAAACCCACCUUCUGGUCCUGUGAGUCAUAGCGGCCACUUUCUCGGGUUUCCCAAGACAGGAGAUGGCGAUUUUCUGCUCCCUCCCCUCUCCCCAAGCUUUCCAGUGCUCUGAGUCUCACAUCUUCAGAUACCUCUUUCUUCCUUCAUUCUCUUUCGUUCAAUCAUCUACGGAACUUUCAAAAACUUUUUUUUUAGGAGAGCGAAGAUUAAAUAAAGAAAAUAAAACGUCUUUGUAUUUCAGUCUAAGGAGGACAGAUGCACAUUAAACUCAGUUUGGAGCGCUUAACUCCAGGCGAAAUGCCCUUUUAUCAAAUCCCACGCGUCGACUUGGGUUGCGCUGGGAAUUUCACGAAUUCCUCGCUGCAGCGUGGCGUGGUUUACCCCCACCCCCACCGCCACCCCACUUUGGGUGAAAUGGAUUUUUGGAAACCAUUUAAGCAGAGCUAAAAAUAAGGGUGGGGGGAUCCCUACACUAGAGAUAGCUGCAGCCACCUAGGGGCUCACCCCUGGUCGGGAGCGAGCAGCUAUUUGCUAGUUGUAGCUCAGGGGUGCCCAACUCUUCCCGUGUGGUUGCGCCAGCUGCCCCGCACUGCAGGUAUCUGAAUCAUUACGUGGGCAACCUGAUGCGGCUCUGAACCCCAGCUCUUUGAAUGCUGGAAUCCUGAAGGAGGAGGAUUCCACCAGGUCUUAGCCGACCAGAUAGCCCAGCUUUCUGAGGCUGGUGACCUCAUUAACUGGCCAGGGAAUUUGCAAGACCAGGAAUAAUCACGUUUCCCAGUUCUUCUUUCCUACAUUGCUUUUCUCCUCUGUCUUCAACGUUAGGGUUUUGUGUUUGUCCCUAAAUUUACAAUUUACAAACGGGGAAGACGGAGCCUAAGUUUCUGCAGGGCAGGUACAAAAGAGAGGGACAACACUCUGGGGGCCUCAUUCUUUCACGUUUUUGUUUCUUGAAAUUUGAUGGAUAUCACCUUAGUUCGGCAAUAGGAGGGCCAGGGUGACUGGGGACAUGGUGGCCCGAAGGGUUAGAUAAUAUAGCAUGCAGGUAGUCUCUGAUCUCCAGGGCUUUGAUAACACCAAGAUUUUCCUCCUUUGCAGAGCAGUCCUAAAUUCUGCCUUCUCCCUUUUCUGCCGCCUCUUCUCUUUUCCCCAUUUCUUUCUUCGUUUCUUUUUCUGUUUUCUUUUUGUGUGCCUCUCUUCCAACAGUCCCUCCUCCACCUUUAUAAGACUUCUCAAAGGUUAUUUAUUUAAGGUCUACCAAGUGCUAGCCCCAAACAGGUCCAGUCCUUCUACCUGUGGCAAGACGGAGGCUGUUACCGCGUGCAAAUAGUGAGGGAACAAAGUAGUUUGGAGUUUUUUGCAGCUUUUUUAGGUGAGGGGAAGGGAGGGAGGUCAGAAAUAGGUUGACACUUGGUUUGAAAUAAAAGAGCAUGUUAAGAAGUUUCGAAGCUGCCAAUAAAACCCUUUAAGUGGCUUGUGAUUCAGUGCCUGGAGUUGCGGGGAUGGCAUUGGUAAAUGACUCUAAUGCCCAAAGAAAAAUAUUACAAAUGCCGCUGUCUCGGCCACCAAUCGGGCGCCGCUUUCCUGCGCGGGCGAUGGCUCCUCUCUGGCGCGGAGGGCACCCACAUUUGCAUGAUAAAUUGACCAGACUGGCGGCAGCCAAUGAAAUAUUCAAAUUAGGCUGGGUGGCGGUAGUAGGGGUGGAGUCCCUGGGGCUGCCCCUUGGCGCGGCGGCGGGAGCGGGCGCUACCACCUCUCCGUCAGCGCCCUCUGGAGGCGGGACAGCGCGGGCGGCCGCUCUGGCCCAAAAGACGAGAUGGGGGGUUGGGGGUUUGGGAUGCAAGGGGGUUUGGGAGGGGUGAUGGUGGGGUCUGGGUGGUGCUUCGCGGCCCCAGGAGGCUUUCCGGCUGGCCUCGUUGACUAGGCGUACAGCAGCGUCUCCGCAUGCCUCUUGCCCUUAAAAGUGUUGAUGGAUUGCAGAAGUGGAUGGUGACCCCAAGGAGGGGUUUCAGAAAGGCUCCAGCCUCCUUCGCCCAACCACCUUCUCUAGGUUCCCCUAACAAACCCAUCACUUAAGUUAAAAACGUGUAUUUGCUCUUGUUGACUUAGCUUUAAGACAAGAUUCUUGCCCACCGCAGACCACAUGGCCAGCUUUCCCAAAGGCCCUCUGAUAAUGAAAUGGUGGAGCAGAUAUAUCAAACUUUCCAUCUUGCCCUGAGCCAACGACCCUGCACCCUCACAGGCCAGGGCACUCUGGAGGGCACCCUGCCUGGAGCCCCAAACCUUGGGUAAGCUGUGGGAGCCUAGGCAGGGGCAGGCAGUGCCUGGAGGCUGGCUUCAGACGGCAGAACUUCUCACCUGGGAAAAUGCUUUCUGGAAGAAGCACCCAGGCCUCAAGGCAGCUCCAGUGAGGGGGCAAAAAGGGAUAUACAUAAGGCAUAAGGCGCUGGCCAUGGUUAGGUAGGUGCUCAGCCAGGAAGAUAGGGCAGAUUCACAUGGGGGAGAUUGGCUCGGUGAUGAGACCACUUCUGACUCCACCAGAACCAGGCCCAGCUCUUCCUGGAGGUCCUGACUCAACGGGGACUUUUGCAUGGGAGCCAAAGAACAGUGGAUGUCUCUUGUCCGCUGAUCAUCUCUUCCCUUCCCCCACCCCAUAUUCCAUCCCAUGCCAGAUCCCUAGGCUGUGCCUGUUAGAGCUACUGUAGCACCACAUGGACUUGCCUUUAAAGCAGAAUUUUUAGAAGUGCAGUUGCUUUUCUUUACUCUGCUGUGGGAUGCUGAACACCUUGUUCUUUCUCCAGCUCAGCAGGGCUUGGAGUUGGUUCCUAGCUAUCUCUGGGAAUGCUCGAUCCCCAUCUCUGUUACCAGCCAAAAGGGUCUGCGGGAGGUGGUCGGCACUCCAGUCAGCAGCCCUCUCAGUACCUCUUCCCCAGACAUAGUCAAAGCAAGUCAUUCAUCUGCAGCCAGUCUCCCCUGCCCAUUCACCAAGGAGAACCUGGGGAUAGGACCACUCAGAGCCUGGCCCAGGCUGGCUCACUAACUGUGUGUAAAUACACACAGCGGAAAGAGUAGGUGCUGAACACACAUGUGUGAGAGAGUGAAUUUUUACUCUCAAUCACCUUAUAUAUAUUAUCAAUAGUUUCAAAGUAUGUUGCCCAAAGGAUGUUAAUUCCUAAGAAGGCUUUUAUAUCGUUUGGAGUUUUGAGGAGUGUGUUGGCUGAAGAGAAGAGGGUCUGGCCCCAGUCUUGAUGGGAAUGCAUGGGGUAAACAGCUGGUGGCAGAGGUACAAAAGGGGCCUCUCUACUUUCUAAGAGAAUCUUCCAUCCUGGCUGAUUUUAGGACCUGGGGUGGGGUUCCCAUCAGGAGGAGGCCUAAGGAAGGAGUAGGACCCUUCCUAGAUGGCUGAGUCAACUUAUACGACAGGGCAGGGAAACCUAUCUUGGAAACCCGGGAGCCCUCCUUCCUCCUCCCCAUCCUCAGGCCUCACCUGAGACUUGAAAAUGGACCAGAGUCUUCCUCCAACAGUGAAAUUCGUUAAAGAGUCACUCCUGUCUAGAAUGUGCAGAAAUGCAAGCCUCUCUCUUUCUCUCUCUCUCUCUUUCUCCACCUUGAGGAUGCUGUAUCUAGAGCCCAUAUAGGGACAAGAAGGUAAGCAGUGAAAGCAGGAAAGAAGUAGAAGGCUGGCUGUCAUCCAGCUGUGCAUACAGUCCUAUCUCAGCUGAACUGUGCACGGUGAAUGAGGAAGUAAAUGACAGGUGAAGGACCAAGAGAGUGAAGCUAGUCAGUUUAUCUGAGGAGAUAGGUAUCAGUGAGUAACUGUAAGGAUCACACCCACAGUGGGUGUGCCCCGCAGAUGGAUAUAUGUGCAGCAAGCGGUACCUUGCGGGGGAAUGCAAGCUCCAACUGUGGUGCUGAGCCUCUGGCCCAUAAGUAACCCAGUGAGCCUGAGCAGGUCACUCCCUCUCUUUGAACCUUGUCUCCAUCUCUAAAACAGGACAGCUUUCUCCAUCUUAAACACCAAGUAGGAAUUCAUUGUGGAAACCUUCCAUCAAAAUUGGAGAUGCCUUGGAUGGACCCUGUGGUGGCUCAUGCCUGUAAUCCCAGCACUUUGGGAGGCUGCGGCAGGCAGAUCACUUGAGUCCAGGAGUUUGAGACCAGCCUGGGUGACAUGACAAAACCCUCUCUCCACAAAAAAUACAAAAAUUAGCUGGGCAUGGUGGCAUGCACCUGUAAUCUCAGCUACUUGGGAGGCUGAGGCAGGAGGAUCGCUUGAGCCUGGGAGGUUGAGGCUGUAGUGAGCCGAGAUAGUGCCACUGCACUCCAGUCUGGGCAACAGAGUGAGACCCUGUCUCAAAAAAACAAAAAAUAGAGAAAUAGAGAUGCCCCUUGAACCCAUGGGUUUUUGGGACUACAUUCUGGAAGCUUUCAGAGUCAGACCAGAGUUUGAAAGAGGCAUUGUGUCACUAGCCGUGUGCCCGUGGGCAAGUCACAGUAGAGUCUACUUCCCACGGCACUUGUGAGACUCAUCUGGGAUUAUGUGUGUCCAUGCCUUGGCAGAGAGCUUGGUGAAGAAUGUUAGUUGUCCAAUAAAUGGUACCCCAUUAAGUUGGUGUGCAGGGUGGCCACAGGGCCAGACCACCCUGAAAAUAAAGGCUUAUAUUUGGGCUGAGCCUGGAUGCACCUGAGAUUACAAGCAGGUGCUUAGAAUGUGGUGAAAAAGAAAGACAGGAGAGAAUGGCUGAAGGCAGCAUGCAGUCCACCUGACUUUCUGGGAAGAUUGGGCAUUUGCAGGGCUGAUAAGUCAGGUUCUUCCGGGCCUUUCUGUGAGCUCAUUAGAGGAAGGGGUCUGGUGACUGAUAUUUCUAUUUUCCCUGUUAGUAGCGACUGGAAUUUGCACCAUCCAGGUCAGAUGGAAAAUAGAAGGCGGGAAAAUCUGACAGUCUCAUUGAUUUGCUCUCUUUGCCAUCACCACUCUUGAGAGGAAGAAAUGUGACUUCAAACUUGCAAUUAGGAACCAGCCUGCUAAGGAGUCCUCUCGUGAGCUCCUGUGCUAUGCGGAGCACAGGCCCAUCUCAUCUCAUUUCCUAAGGAGACAGAGACUUGCUCUGCUGCUCAGGGUGAAGCACAGUGGCACAAUGUCGGCUCACUGCACUCACCUCUGCCUCCUGGGUUCAAGCGUUUCUUCUGCCUCAGCUUCCCGAAUAGCUGGGAUUGCAGGCAUGCACCACCACACCCAGCUAAUUUUUGUACUUUUAGUACAGACAGGGUUUCAACAGGUUGGCCAGGAUGGUCUCGAACUCCUAACUUCAAGUGAUCCACCUGCCUCAGCUUCCCAAAGUUCUGGGAUUACAGGGCACCAAAAAUUGGCACUUUUAAAAGGAGACAAGUUUUACUUAAAAGCAAAAGCCUUUAACAGGCCUUUGGCUGGAUUAAAUGAUAAUGAAGCGAAGCAAAGCUUGUGACCACUCUGUAGAGCCAUCCAGAUAGUCUCUCUUUGGGGCCAGAUCCUCUAGAAUGCAUGAUUUAGGGUCAUUCAUUGCACAUUCCUGGCUUCAGACUGGUUUUCUGAAUUUCCCUGCAAUCUGAUUUUUGUCUUCCUACAUUUCUGUGUGUGAGAUACAUCAAAAGGUAAAAGAAUGUGUGAAUCAUAUAGGUACGGUUUAAAUAAUACCUGCAUACACAACACUCAGUCACCUGAAACCCCCCGACACCUCCCAAUUCCAGUCCCCUCUCCUGGAGGCCACCUCUAUUUUUAAUUUUUGUAAUGAUCACUUCCUUGCCUUACUUUGUAGUUUUAAUAUUUAGAUGUGUAUACCUGGUCAUGUUCAUAAAUGAAAUCAUGUUGUAUGAAUUAUUUUGUGUCUUGUUUCUCUUACUCAGCAUUGUUUUUCGGACUUAACCAUGUGGAUUUGUGUUGCUGGUUCAUGGUCAAGGUUCUAGACUAUGAAAACAUUAGUUUCAUGAAAACAUUAGGAUUUUUUCCCCCCAAUUGUUUGGAUAUCAUGAAGAAUGCCGCUGCGAACAUGUUUGUUCCUAUGCCAUAACUCACAUGGGGAAUAUCUCCUAUUUAUAUAUAGUUAGGGGUGGGAUUGCUUGGUCAGAGUUUGCAUAUCUGCAGCUCUAACUGUUUUCCAAGAUGAUUGUGUCAAUUUUCACUCCCACAAGCAGUUUUUAAAGUUCCCAUUGUUCUACAUCCUUGCCAGCCUAUGAUAUUGUUAGCAAUGUUUCUUCGUAUUUGUAAUGUUUCCUAAUCUAGCGGCUGUGGUUGCUGUCUCACUGUGUUUAAUUUGCAUUUCCAUGAUUACUAAUGAGUUUGAGCACCUUUUUUAUAUCUGCGUGGUGAUCGGGAAUGCCUUAUUUGUGAGAUGCCUGUUCAAGUCCUGCCAUUAUCCGUUGCAUAUAUGUUUCACAUUAUUUCACCCAAGUUCUCUGUUGCCCAGGUUUGUUUCAGAUUGGUUUGGGACAGUGGAUCAGAUCAGAAAUGUUUCAGUGACAUCUCUCACUAUAUUUCCUAGGAUGCUUUUAUCUGUGAGAAAUACGACCCCCUGCUCACACUGGCUUAAGGAAAUUGGCAAGAGGUAGAUUAUGGCUCCAUUAUAUUAACAGGAAGCCAGUUUGCUCUGCCUUCUUACUCUUCGCUUCGUUUUCGGCAUAAUCUCAUCCUCAAGGUGUUUUAUCUUAUGAUUUCAAGAGGACCACAAAUGGCGAGUGGAACUAAUUGCUUCUUUGUCCACAUUCCACAAGGAAGAGAAUAAUAGAAAACUUUUCAUUGACCCAUGUAAUCUAAGUCAUACCCUUCAGUUUCCAGGGGCCACGUCCAUGAAGCAGGAGGCAUCUGCAGUGAAUGCCAUGCCCUGACGCCUUACUGAGCACUCCUAGUAGGACAAAAUGAGUACUGUAUGGGGAGGAGGCAACCUCAAACAACCACCAUGCUUACUGCCAAGCCUAUAGGAUAUUUUUAAAUUCAUUUUUUAAUUUGCAUAUAAUAAAAUGCAUUUUUUUGGGAUGCAGUUUUCUGAGUUUUGCCAAAUGCACAAAAUCACAUAACUACCACUGCCAUCAAGAUUUGGAACAGUGGCUAGGUGUGGUGGUGGCUUACACCUGUAAUCCCAGCACAUUGGGAGGCUGAGGCAGGAGCAUCGCUUGAGCCCAGGACUUCAAGAUCAGCUUGAGCAACAUAGUGAGACCCCAUCUUUACAAAAAACUUUUUAAAAAUUAGCUGGGCAUGGUGGCAUGUGCCUGUAGCCCCAGCUACUUGGAAGGCUAAGGCAGGAGGAUCACUUGAACCUGGGAGGUUGAGGCUGCAGUGUGCUGUGAUUGCACCGCUGUACUCCAGCCUGGGUGACAGAGGAAAACCCCAUCUCAAAAAUUUUUUUUAAAAGAUUUAGAGUCGUUUUCUUUUUUUUCUUUUUUUUUUUUGGACAGAGUUUGGCUCUUGUCGCCGGGGCUGGAAUGCAAUAGUACAAUCUUGGCUCACUGCAACCUCCACCUCCCAGGUUCAAGUGAUUCUUCUGCCUCAGCCUCCCGAGUGGCUGGGACUACAGGUGCCCAGCACCACACCUGGCUUUUUUUUUUUUUUUUUUUUUUUUUUUUUUUUUUUUUUUUAGUAGAGGCAGGGUUUCACCAUGUUGACAGGCUGGUCUCGAACUCCUAACCUCAGGUGAUCCACCCUUUUUGACCUCCCAAAGUGCUGUGAUUAUAGGCAUGAGCCACCGUGCCUGGCCUAGAAUAGUUUUCUUACUCCCCCAAAACUGCUUUAUGCUGCCUUUUUGUAGUCAAACUAUCUGCCUGCCCUUAACCCCAGCUCCCCCGCAUUAGAAACCACUGAACCUCUGAUCUGUUCUUCACCUUAAAGCUUUCCCUUUUCCAGGGUGUAGCGUAUGUGGAAUUAUAGAGUAUGUCACCUUUCAAGUCUGGCUUCUUUCAUCUAGUGUAAUGCAUUUGAGAUUUAUCUAUGUUGUCGGAUGUAUCAGUAAGUUUGUGUCUUAGCAGUGCUGAGAAGUAUUCCUUUGCAUGGAUGUACCCAGAUCUGUUUAUCCAUUCAUCAGUUAGAGGACAACUGGGUUGUUUCCAGUUUGGGGUGAUUACAAAUAAAGCCACGAUGUACAAGCACCUCUAGGUUUUGGGUGAACAUAAGUUUUCAUUUCUCUUAAGUUUCAAUACCUAGGAGAAUGAUUGCUAGGUCAAUGGUAAGAGCGUGUAUAAUGCUACAAGAAAGUGCUAAACUGUUUUCCAAAGUGAGUGUAGCAUUUUGUAUCCCCGCUAGCAAUGAAAUGAGAGCUCCGCUUGCUCUGUAAGAGGCAUUAGUGAAUAUGAAAGUGCUUUGUAAAGACUAAGGGUGUCUCACAGUGUGCCCAGGCGGGAGGAUUCAGAGGGGGCAUUUCUAAACUCUAAACUCCUGUGGGCUCCUAGCCCAUCCUUCUGAAUGGGGACAGAAUACUUCCAUUUCCAGGUUACUUGCUUCUCCAAAAGGGAGACAGGGAAGUAUCCUUCUCUUUUUGCAAAUGAGGGCACAGCACUGCCUCUCGUGGUUGAGCCAGUCAUUAUUCAGUAGGAACAGCAGUGAGAUUCUCCAGCCUUCUAUUUUAUUCCUGGGGUCACAGAGUAAAAUGCAGCGUGAUCAUUUGGAGCAUUCUUAUGCUUUGUGACAAGAACAAAGCCAGUGGAAACAGCCAUGUGUCCAAUCAGAAUGUCAGAGCUGGCAGGGACCUUAGCAAUUGUCACUUUACAGAUGAUAACCUAUUACAUCCCCAGGUCCCCAGAAUCCCAGCCCAGGACUCACUCCCUCAGCCUUCCUGGAUUGUCCUGGGUGGAACAAGAUCAGCUCAUUUAGCACAUAGUCUUCCAGAACACAAGGCAGUGUCCCACCAAGGUUGGAUGGGACCAGCUUCUCUAUCCACAGUAGCUGUGCACACAGAGACAGAAAUGAAGCCGUACUGCCGGGUGCACCGUGGCCAGAGAUCCUCCUUCCUGGUAUAUACUCCCGGAGCCAUUGCUUCUUUCAUUUCAGUGCCCAUUUCUGAGGCACCUUCACAUUUCAAACGUCCUGAGAAUAUGUUUAAUUAGAACUUGGCCAUACAGCCUUUUAAAACAAAACAGAAGGGACCAGCUAAUUAUAUCACUCAGCAUUCUGUGGCAAACAUAUAUUUUUUAAUAAAACACUUUCCUAACCAGAGUAAUCCCUGGAGAUGCAAAUCCUCAUUUAUAAGAAGUUUCCCAAAGGGAGUUAAAGAGAAGAUGCCUUAUAAAGAAAAGAGACAAAGAGAGUGGGGAAGUGUUUUCAAAGAGCUUUUAAAAGAUACACUCAUUCUGAGGUUGAAUUACAGAUAUUUUAAGGGUACCAAAUUUUAUUUCAGAUGUAAUCCUUUCCUGUGUUUUUGAUCAUGUAUUUCCGUUUUUUCCCUUUUUGAUCAUUGCCACAAAUGCCCAUAUUUCUCUUUCUGGUGUCUUUCAUAAGUGCAAUAUUUAAAUAAACAAGGGAUUUUCCCAAAAUGCACCUCAUCUCCUACUCUUUGUCAUUUCCUUGUCUUGCUCUGUAAAUAACCGUGUGUCUCACAGCAGAGCUUACACAGAAUGGAUGUGGGGCAGUCUGUGGUCCUGGGGAGGGCCUUCCCUGUAAUCUCUGCAGCCCAGGACAGGGAGAGGGAAGAUUUAGAUCCUGCUGCGGCAUGUCUUCAGGAGUGGAGGUCAGCUUGGGACAUUUACGUUCAUGAGGCAGCCGCAGAGGGUCAGAGCAAUAAUUGUGCCAGCUGAUGUUUGCUGCGGGGUUUACUCCAAGCCAGGCCACACGCUAAGAAAUUAGGUAUCGUACCUCAUUUAAUCCUCACAAUCCUCACAAAAUGUAGUUGUUUUGCUCCAUUUUGCAGAUGAAGAAGACGAGGCUUGAGAGACGAAGGAAUGAAUGAAGGGUCUCACAGCUGUUAGAAGGGUUAGAUCUUGUAUUUGGACUCAGGUCUGCCUGCCCUGGAACUUGACUCUCCCACACCUGGUGCUGGGCACACUAGGAGACGUCACAAGGCUCAGAGAUGCCACCCUUCCUAGAACGGGCGCCGUGCCUCUCUUCUCCACACACUGCAGGGGAGACAGGCACUGUGUUUUCAGAUAAGUUCCAUGUGCAUCAGGGGCUCGGUGGGAAAGGGAGGACACACUCAGAUUAGGAUUAUUCAUGGAGGAUUCUCCAAAGAGGCUAUUUGGAAAGACGGAGGGAAUGGUGAAGGAAAGCACAAGAGAAAAUGGACAGAACCGUUACUUCCUCACGCCUGAAGGGGAUGGGUUACUGGAAGCCAGGAGGAGAGUGUGAUAAGAGCCACUUUUAGAGGAGCUUUCACCUUCAGGAGAAAGUCAGGGCCCAAGAAGACCCACAGGGAGGUGACCAGGGAAUGGCAUACUUGGACUACCCUCUCUUCUGUUCCUCCACUCUCCUGCCAGGGCUCCACAUUGGAUAAACCCCUGCAGGGGCGAGUGAAACUGCCACCCAGGUUUGCCUCCCAGGGCACAGCCCAUGGAGAGCUCUAAGGCAAGUGGCAGAAAACUAGCACAGGUGCAGUGCGUCUUGCAAAGCACCCAGCCUAUGCCGGCCCUGGGCUAGAAAUGGGAAGAGAGGAGACCAUGGCACUGCCCUCAAAGAUCUUAGAGUCUGUGGAGGAGUCAGGCAGAGAGAGGGGGUGUUCCCUUGGCAAAGGACUCCAUGAGCAGAUGCAGGCCAUGGGCGACGCUCCUGCAGAAGCUUUGGGGUUUGCCGCAUGUGCCUGGAAGGAGCGCGCCCACCUUGACAUGCCUCGCCUCCUGUUGCCAUUGACAACGUGAAGGCAAACUCCUGGGGCUGGGCCUUUUUCCUUGAGAUAAAAUAUGUAUAAUUCUCUGUUAUCAAAUGAUUAUUAAACAAAAUCUAAUUGAAAAAAUAGAAAGAAGAAAAGAUAAGUCAUUUAUCAUCCUGUUCUCCAAAGACAACUGUGAACAGCUUGGUGGAACUCCUUCCAGUGGCUUUCCUUGGAGCUUUGCCUCUGUGGAUGUGGUAAGAGUCGGAUGCGAUUUUGAAUUUUGAGAUUUUGAUUGAGCAUUGUUGUAGUAUUUUGCCAUGUUAUGAUAAAUCAUUGGCAAACAUAGUUUUUGACGGCUGCAUAAUAUUCUGCAUAAUAUUCAUAAUAAUGAAUGCUAGUAUAGUUCAUAUUAUAAUUCUUCUACUGUAUUUAUUUAUUUAUUUAUUUUUGAGAUAGAGUCUUGCUUUGUCACCGAGGCUGGAAUGCAGUGGCGCGAUCUCAGCUCACUGCAACCUCCACCUCCUGAGUUCAAGCUGUCCUCCCACCUCAGCCUCCUUCAAUAGCUGUGACUACAGGUAUUCGCCACCAUGCUGGACUAAUUUUUGCAUUUUUUAGUAGAGACGGGGUUUCACCAUGUUGGCCAGGCUGGUCUUGAACUCCUGACCUCAGGUGAUCUGCCCGCUUCGGCCUCCCACAGUGCUGGGAUUACAGGCAUGAGCCACCACGCUCAGCCUUCUUCUACUGUUUAAAUGUUUAGGUUAUAUCCUGUUUCAUUAAUAUUAAAGAAUGCUAUAAUUAAAAACUUUGUGUAUAGAGAAUUUUUCCAUGUUUCAGAUUAUUUAUCCAGGAUGAUGUCUCUAAAAUAAAGCUACUAGAGGUUGAAGUAUCUAGCCCAGGGCCAGCCACAGAAUAGACACAACUUGGUUGAUAACUAUUGUUGUUCAGUGGUGAGUGUUUAUGUAAAGCUCUUCUGCAAUUAAGAACUGCUCCAAAGUCCUUCCUCUAGAACAGCGCUUGAAUAUGAUGUGAGCCACGUAAUUCUCAAUGUUAUAAUAACCACAUUUCAAAAAGCAGACACAGUUGAAAUUAAUUUUAAUAAUACCUUUUACUGGAGCUGGGCAUGGUGUCAGGCCUGUAAUCCCAGCACUUUGGGAGGCCGAGUUGGGCAGAUCACAUGAGCCCAGGAGUUUGAGACCAGGCUGAGCAACAUGGCAAAACCUCAUCUCUACAGACAAAUACAAAAAUUAGCCAAAUAGGUGGUGUGUGGCUGUAGUCCCAGCUACUCGGGAGGCUGAGGUGAGAGGAUCACUUGAGCCUGGGGGGUUAAGGCUGCAGUGAGCCAAGAUUGCACCAGCGUACCCCAACCUGGGUGACAAAGUAAGACCCUGUCUCAAAAAAAAACAUUAAUUAAUUAAAACAAACAUAAAAAUACAUUUUACUUAACCGAUUAUAUCUAAAAUAUUAUUUCAACAUAUGAUUAUAUGUAAUCAACAUAAAAUUUAUCAAUGAGAUAGUCUACAUUUUUUUCCCAUGUAAACCUUUGAAAUCUGAUGUAUAGAUUUUAUGCUUACAACACAGCUCCAUUCAAACCAGCCUCAUUCCCAGUGUUCAGUAGCCACGUGGGUGCCUGAUAGCCACUGUGGACAGUGCAGGUCUAGGGCAAGGAACCCACCAGAGAUAUUUGCCACUGUUGGCAUCUUCACCUAGCCCUGAAAUCCAGCCACCUUUUAAUGCCUCCCCGAACCCCCUUACUGGCGUUCUGGACUGAGGGUGGACCGGGUGGCCAGGUGUGACAUGACUUCUGUACCUGGACAUUUUUACCAGUCGUCCUCAUUCCUGCCUUGACCUUGACCUUAGCCAAUCACAGCAUCCCUCUAUCCCAGUGUGCCUGGCACUGGUUCAUUCAGAGACAUUGCACACUUCCCGCAUGGUAAGCCCUGGGCCUGACCCUAGGGAUACAGGUGGACAAACAGAACUUUCUUGUAAAAUUUAAUUACAGAACUUGUCAGUGUUUUUACGGUCUAGUGGGGGAGACAGACUUUAAUCAAAUCAUCACACAAAUAUAUAUAGUUUCUAAAUGUGGUUAAGUGCUACAAGGGAAAUGCACUUUUAAAAAUGCUAACACUGGGUCAUGGCAUGAGUGGCCCGCCCUGAAGGCAUUUAAUAAAGGUGGCCCAGCCCCUGGCCAGGCUGUCUUAGGGAACAUUCAUGUGAAAGAUGAGAGUGAGAUAAGAGGAUCUCAGUUUCCUUCUGGUAUCCAGGGUCCCUAAGCUACAUUAACAGAGUUUCUAGGACAGACAGUAGCUCACCGGUUCCUGUGUCUGGGGCCCAGUUGAUCAAUUUGUUGUUUGUCAUCUCUAAAAAGUAUUGCGGCCAGCUGGAACAUAAAAGUAAUGAGGAAACAGGCCAGGUGCAGUGGCUCAUGCCUGUAAUCCCAGCACUUUGGGAGGCUGAGGUGGGCGGGGGAUCACCUGAGGUCGGGAGUUUGAGAUCAGCCUCACCAACAUGACUAAAACCUGUCUCUACCGAAAAUACAAAAUUAGCCGGGCAUGGUGGCACACGCCUGUAAUCCCAGCUACUUGGGAGGCUGAGGCAGGAGAAUCACUUGAACCUGGAAGGCGGAGAUUGCAAUGAGCCGAGAUCGUGCCACUGCACUGCAGCCUGGGGAACAAGAGUGAAACUCUGUCUCAAAAACAAACAAACAAAAAAGUGAUGAGGAAGCAGAAGGCUACCCAUUCAUUCAUUCAUUCAUUCAUUUGUUCCUGUGUUCACGCAGCAACUCUCAGUGAGUGCUCUGUGGGAUGCCAGGCAGGCUCUGCACAGUCAGAAUGGCAAAGUCAGCCUUCUCUCUGGCAGAUUACACACUGCCAACUGAACACACUUUUCCGGGGAACAUAUCCACUUAAAAGAGAGGAAAAAUCAAUGCUAAUAGAACUCCUUAUCUGGUUCCAAAAAUGACAUCGUCCGUAGUGGCUGAUGCUUUGAGCCCAUGGCUGCUCUGGAGGCAUGAGCCCUGCAUGGACACAAUUUUGUAAGCUCCUCGAACCUGGCCAAAUCAAUCAAUGAGAGGCUGCAGCAUGGAGAGAGUCUGGGUUCCAGGGGCAAACUGUACCAUUCCUCUUCUAACCUGAAACAGGACGGAGACCCUCCCUUCAACCUCCAGCCCCUAGGGACAGGGUAAUUUCAGCUGCACCUGAUGUACCCUAUACAUCACUGUCUUCUCCACCAGCUCUCAAAUUAAACUCUGAUGUAUAAAGUUAAACAAAAAUGAGAUAAAAUUUGGCAGAGGUUGAAGAGGGUCAAAGUAGUCCAAACAUAAGGUAGACUAUUGCUUCUUUUGAUUUAUGUUAUUCUGUACACUGAGAAAAAAAUAAAAUUAUAAAUCUCCCCGAGACUUUCUCAUUGAGAAUGAGGCAUUGCUAAUUGAUUUUCAAUAGACUCCCAGGGUUUUCAGCUGGGAGGAGCACUAUAGCUGUUGUUUGUAGUGAAGAUGCCAUGGUUCGACCUCGGACAUGUACUGUGAUGAUGUAAAAAUAUCCUGCAAAAUUAACAUCUGCAGGCAGUGAUGUUGAAAACCACCCUGCCUUACCUGGCUCAUGUCACAGACCACAGUGUCUGUCCUUCCUUAUUUUCUUAUUUAAUCCUUGCAAACCCCUAAUAUGUGACACACAGAAUUCACUGUCCCCUUUUGGCAGUUAGGGAAACUGAGGCUUAAAGAAACCACGUGUCUUCAGUAAAUAUUAGCAUGUCUACUAAAUGGCUGGGACACAGAAGUGAACAAGACCAGUACCCUCUCCUAGAGACCUUCUUCCAGUACAAGAGACGAUAAUCAAGUCAAAUGACUAAAUAUAAAGGAUUAUUAGUGUGUAGAAUUAAUUGUGAGGAAAUGGAAGUGGGAAAAGGGAUAGAGAAAAAGGGGUAUAGAAAGCCAAGGGAGGGCCUUAACAAGGGAAUAUUUAACAGUAAAACAGUAAGAUUUACUUUUUUUUUUUUUUUUGAGAUAGGGUCUUGCUCUGUCACCCAGGCUGGAGUUCAGUGGUACUAUCAAAGCUCACUGCAGCCUCAAACUCCUGGGCUCAAACAAUCCUCUCACCUCAGCCUCUCAAGUAGCUGGGAUUAUAGGUACACAACAACACACCUGGCUUAUUUUUUAAUUUUUUGUAGAGAUGGGAUCUCACUAUGUUGUCCAGGCUGGUCUUGAACUCCUGGCCUCAAAGGAUCCUUCUACCUCAGCCUCCCAAAGCACUGGGAUUACAGGCAUAAGCCACCAAGCCUGGCCCAAGAUAUACAUUUUUAAAGGAUGGUGAAGGCUGCUGUGUGUAGAACUAACUCAGGGGGACAAGGGCAACAUCAGAGAGACCAGUUAGUAGGCUGUGCUCAUUUUCUGGACAAGAUAUGGUGGUGAGUUGGGCCAGGUGGUGGCAGGAGUGGUAGGUUGCAGAGCUUAGAACAAUUUUGAAGAUAAGGUGUCUCCAAGGGAUCUGUUCCUGCUCCGUUGCUCUUUCCACAGCACGCUACCUGCAGCUUCUGCUGGUAUCACUGCACCAGACUCUGGAGCACGCUGCUUCUCUGGAGGAGGAUAAAGACAGGGAGGCUAUCUAGGGAGAUAAGACUGCACCAGCAGGCAGCAGGGGCUUCCGAGAAGAGGGCCCCUAGUCCUGGCUGCGUAUGUGCUUGUGUGUGUCACUUGCGAUGUGCAUAAUCAUCUUCAGUCUUAUUUUUCCCAGGUAACUGCAAAAGGUAAUUUCCAGCUCAUUUAGCUCUGUUCUUUCCCUAAGCUCCUCUAGUCUGGCUUUUGUCUCUGCCACUCCUACCAAAACCACUCUGCUCAAGGCCAUGAUCAAUGUCUCCAUUGCCUAGUCCAGGACAGUCAGAGCUGCUCUGGGACAGAUACACCAGAUGCAUGAGUUUCCUGAUAGAGCAGGAUCUCAGUGGAGGCUCGAUGCCCACCUGCCUGAUGCUGUGGGAUGGAUUUCUGCACAGAUGCAACCUCUGUGGGCAGAGGCCAGGAUGAGGCUUAUGUGGCUGUGAAGACAGCCUUUGAUCUGUUUUCUGAUGCAACCACAGUGCUGCAGGCCCUGCUUCAUCUUGGAGGUUUGAUGAGUGCAGACAUGAGAGGUUUCUAGGUAGAGCUGAGCCCUGGGCUCUCGAGUCUCCUCUGUCUGCAUAUCUGCAUGUGGUUGGCAAAGUGCCAGCCAACCUCAGUGCAACCCUCACCAAGUUCUCAAGGAACAGCCUCUGAAAGUCCCUCUCUAUGCUGAGUUCUAGGGAAGGAAAAGGAACUCAGGGAAUAGAAGAGCUGAUCUGCCCAAGUCAUACAUUUCUUGGGGGCACAGGAGGACUACAUCUCUCAUGCUCACUUGAAAUUAACUGUGGCCACUCAAAUUAAGGUUUACCAGAUGGAACAUGAGCGGGAGUGAUGUGUUCUCUCUAAAGGCCUAACCCAUGAAAAACCUAUUGGGAACACUCCCCCAUGCUCUUUUCCAUUCCAUGAGCUGGAUGCAGAUGAUGGCAAGGAACUAGGGUGAGGUGGAACCACAAAACAGAGGGAGCUUGGAUCCCUGAAUGACCACAUGGACAUACACAUACACCAAAGACUGUCUUGUAAGCAAGAAAUAAACAUCUACUGUAUGGAACCUUUGCAUGGAGGGUCUAUUUGUUAUAGCAGCUUAGCUUACCCUGACUAAUACAAUCCCUGCUCUCUGAGAAUUUAAAAUUGCUUCAAGGAGACAAGACUCACUCAUACAAUUCUGGAAUGGUAGUACGUGGCUUCGAAGAAGGGUGGGUUGUAAGGUUUGGACUUUCAGUUCUGAAGUCACAAGCUAUAGGCCCUUGGGUAUUAGACUCUCCUAUUGAAGGCCUUUUUCUGGAAAGCUGGAAGAUAGACUGGGGAGAAGGCCCUUCUGGAAGAGGACACAUUACAAUCAAGGGUUCAAAAGUAGGGCUUGAAGCAAGCAUAGAUGAGAUCAACAAUGUUAAUUCCUAGAAAAUGAAAAAGGAAAAUGGCCUUUAAAUACCUAAGAGCUUUGACUGCUGCAGGGAUGAGACGAAGGCCAGACUUUCAUAACUUCUCUCCUGUGACUUCACACACCUCAGAAGUUUUCUGGUGAGGAGCCCUGAACCUGGGUGUGUGGGGAGUUGGUGUCAGCUUGCUGUUUCUCUCCCAUGCCUUUUCUCCUGGCUAGGAACCCCACUUGUUGUCUGUUUUAACCAAUAACUUAGCUCAGACUUGAAUGCUUGAUUGGAACAGCAAGUCUCCAGCUUUCUGCAGAGGUCUUUGGGGACAGGAAUAUGAUGAAGUUUCUGAGCUGAGGAUUCUAACUGAGACUUCCAGCUCUCAGCUGAACUUCAGACGUGUUCUUUACAGUCACAGCUGUGAAGCUUUUCAGGGCAAGGCCCUGAAAAGCUCAGCUUGGAUCUGUCUGUCCCUACCAGGUUCUGGGGGAAGGGGGAGGAGAGCAGGCAGAACACUCCCAGUUUACAGCCCAGGGAUGCUGAGUCCUGGGGCCAAAGGUGUUGCUCAUCACCCUCGAGCCCUAGAAGUGGCAGGACCUCAGGAGAAUUCAAAGUGGUCUUCCUCUUAGGAAAGAUAAACACUUAUUCCACUGGUUCUCCUCUUCCUGGACACUCCACUCCCUUCUUCCCAGACUCACACACCUCCUAACUGCACCCCAAUGAAUGGUGCUUCUCUGGGUCCCCCACAGACAAACAUUGGGGAGCAGCCACUAAAGACUUGGGUUCUGGUUCCAACUGCUGAUUUUGAUUAAGGGUGUGACCUUGGCCCUCUUCAUCCCCCUCUCUUCUUCCCCUGUUCAUUCACAGCUGCUUUUGUUAAUAUUCAUGGUGCAUUAUGUAACUAUUGUUCACAGUUGAGCCAAGUAGUGUACUAGACUUGCUUGGUUGGUUUCAUUCUCCUUUUGUUUUCCCUGAAGCCAAUAAUCAACUCAUUUUCAUUUGCUUGGUGUUGUUUGCACAGAUGAUUAAGUUUUCCCUUACCUACCUGCAGCCUGUCAAGACAAUUUUCCACAAGAUUGAACAGAUCAGAAAAUCCACUGGGAGCAGUUUCUUCUUCUUCUUGGAGGUGUCCCCUCUGUAGGCCUCUGACGUUCCAGUUCAGUUCCCUGUUUGGGCAACAGCACAACUAUCAUAUGGGCUUUUCUUCACCUCCAGCUUGGAGAAUUUCUUUACUUCUCUCAUCCAUUGGAUCCACUGCUUCCUGGAGCCGAUGCCUUUCCCUCCUUGGUUUCAUCCCUUCUUUUGUUGGUGCACAGCCCCCAGCAGCUGUCUGCUAAUGCAGGGAUGACAUCUGGGGGUUAAGCUAGCAGGACAAAGGAGCUUCUGCCAUUUCUCUUCUGGAUAAUCAUCCCCCAACAAACAACAACAGCAGCAAAUAAAUAAAACAAGAAGAAUGUGAAAGAGAAAUGCAAAUUUCAUUUUAUACAAAAUAAGCAGACAGACACAACCCAGUACUGCAAAGAGUGGAAAAUAGGUGGGAGAGAGUCGAAGGACCUUGUUCUGCUAGGUGUCUGCAGCAGGGCAGAAGCCGAUCUACCAGGCAGAACCCCAGAGUAGCUCAGGAAUCCAAGAUGCCACACAAGGCAAAGUGAGGUGUGGCAGGUCACAGGUUGCAGGCCUCCAUGGGGAAUAGCUAGGCCCCCAGGUUCCCACCCCUGAGCCUGACACCUUCCCCUGUCCUUUUGGAAGACGGGAAGAGGAUCCAGGCAAGGGCCAGGGUGAACACAAACCAAAACGAGGGGGAUUGGGGGAAGUUUACUCUUGUACACAGUCCCCCAGCUCUUUUCUGUCUGGCUCAUGGUCCAGGAGCAGAGGUAGGUCAUGGGUCACCUUUUCUUUAUGUCCUACAAGAGGUAUGAAUUUUAACACAUGCACUGGUUGUGUAACCAGAACUUCAAUCAGGAUACAGAAGAGUUCCAUCCCCUCCUGCCCCCGACUCCCUCAUGUUACCCCUUUUAUAGACAAACACUCCCUCCACCCCUUGCCCCUGGGAGCCACUGAUCUGUUCUCCAUCACUGCAAUGUUGUCUCUUUAAGAAUGUCACAUAAAUGGAGUCAUGUCAUAUGCUACCUUUUGAGACUGGCUUCCUUCACUCGGCAUAAUGCCUAUUUAUUUAUUUAUUUAUUUAUUUAUUUAUUUAUUUAUUGAGACAGAUUGUUGCUCUUGUCGCCUAGGCUGGAGUGCAGUGGCAUGAUCUCGGCUCAUUGCAACCUCCACCUCCUGGGUUCAAGCGAUUCUCCUGCCUCGGCCUCCCAGGUAGCUGAGAUUACAGGCAUGCACCACCACACCCGGCUUAUUUUGGUAUUUUUAGUAGAGACAGGGUAUCACCAUGUUAGUCAGGCUGGUCUCAAACUCCUGACCUCAGGUGAUCCAACUGCCUCAGCCUCCCAAAGUGCUGGGAUUACAGGCGUGAGCCAACGUACCUGCCCAAUGCCUUUGAGACUCAUCCAAAUUAUUUCACGUAUUAGGAAUUUAUUUUUCCUUAUUUCUGAGUAGUGUUUCAUUGUAAGGAUGUACCACAGUGUGUUUAUCCAUCCACCCCUUGAACGACAUUUUGGGUUGUUUCUAGUUUUGACAGUUAUGAAGACUAUUGCUACAAACAUUUGCAUACAGGGUUUUGUGUAAAAACAGAUUUUUAUUUCACUGGAGUAAACACCCAAAGGUGGGAUUACUGGGUCCUAUGGAAAGUGUAUGUCUAAUCUUAUAGGAAGCUACCAAACAUUUUUUCAGAGUGGCUGUACUGAUUUUUAUUCCCACCAGCAAUAUAUAAGAGUCUUGUUGUUAGACAUGUUUGCCAACACUUGGUAUUGACAGUAUUUUUUUAAAAAAUGUUAUCAUUUUAAUAGGUAUAUAGUGGUAUCUCACUAUGACUUCAAGUUGCAUUUCCCUAACAGCUAAUUAUGUUGCACAUUUUUAUGUCCUUAUUUGCCAUUCUUACAUCUUUUUGGUGAGUGUCUCUUCAAGUCUUUUGCUCAUUUUAAAAAUUGAGUUGUUAGUAUACUUACUGUUGAGGCCUGCGUGUUCUUUACACAUUAAAUAUUCAAGUUCUUUUAAAAAAAAAAUACAGGGGCCUUUUGUAUUCCCUAAACUGGAAUGCAGUGGCAUGAUCAUAGUUUACUGUAGCCUUGAACUCCUGGGAUCGAGGGAUCCUCCCACCUCAGCCUUCCAACUAGCUGGGACUACAGGUGCAUGCCAUCAGGCCCAGCUAAUUUUUAUUUUAUUUUUUGUAGAGGAGGGGACUUGCUUUGUUGCUCAGGCUGGUCCUAAACUGCUGCCCUCAAGCAAUCCUCCUUCCUUGGCCUUCCGAAGGCAUGAGAAUUACAGGCAUGAGCCACUGUGCCUGGCCCAUAAAGAUGCAAGUUCUUUGAUGAAUAGGUUACUUACUAUUUUUUUUGUCCCAAUCUAUAGCUUCUGGUUUCAUUCCUUUAAUUGUCUUAUAUAGAGCAAAAGAUGUUUUUGUUGUUGUUGUUUUGUUUGUUUGUUUGGCAGAGCCUUGCACUGUCACCCAGGCUGGAAUGCAGUGGCAUAAUCUCAGCUCACUGCAGCCUCUGUCUCCCAGGUUCAAGCGAUUCUCCUGCCUCAGCCUCCUGAGUAGCUGGGAUGACAGGCGCCUGCCACCACGCCUGGCUAGUUUUUUGUAUUUUUAGUAGAGAUGGGGUUUCAAUCAGUUGGCCAGGCUGGUCUUGAACUCCUAGCCUUGUUAUCCGCCUGCCUCGGCCACCCAAAGUGCUGGGAUUACAGGCGUGAGCCACCGCGCCCAGCCUAGAGCAAAAGAUUUUGAUUGUGAUCAUGGACGCCAUCUUCAAACUGAUUCCCGUCUCCAUUAAUGUGCAUUUAUUGAGCACCUGUAGUAUACAGGUCCCUGUUGGGGGUUGAGCUUUACAAGACUGAUGGAACCUGGUGCUCAGAGCAUCCUCUAAGAUCUUUGCCCUUCCCCAGGGGAGGAGGUGCUGGUUUAGACCCAUAGCCCUGAGGGAAGUUCGGGACUUACUUAGGUUUUUCAACCCCAACUAUCCUCAGCUUCAAACCAAUGCCACCGAAUUACCCCCUGAGCAUUCCUGUCUUACCCACCCUCCUUUGCCUAAGCCUUGUUUUCCUUCACUCAAGCAUUGAUCUCCUCCUUCCUUCCUGGGUUAACCUUGCCUACAAUUCAAAGCUCAGCUGGGAUAAUCCAUCAGGCCUGAAAGCUUCUCCAACCCAAAGUUUCUAUCUCUCUGUCUAUGGCCUUGUUUGAUUAUAUCAUCUUUUCUUCCCACCUGGUAGGGUUUUGGGGAUUAAAUAAUAUGAAGCAUAUAGACAUGUGCAGCAAAAAGCCUAUUAGAAAGUAGAUUUUCCAUGCAAGUUGCUACAAAAUCAAAUAAGUUCCCAGUUCCUGAGAACCCAAGGUUUGAUAUGGUUUGCCUGUGUCUCCACCCAAAUCUCAUCUUGAGUUGUAGUUCCCACAAUUCCCAUGUGUCAUGGGAAGGACCCAAUGGGCAUAGGUCUUUUCUGUGCUGUUCUCAUGGUAGUGAAUCUUUCUCAGGAGAUCUGAUGGUCUUACAAAGGGGAGUCCCCCUGCACACACUCUCUUUCCUGCUGCCACGUAAGACAUGCCUUUGCUCCUCCUUGCCUUCCACUAUGAUUGUGAGGCCUCCCCAGCCUUCUGCCACUGUGAGUCCAUUAAACUUUUUCCUUUGUAAAUUACCCAGUCUCCAGUAUGUUUUUAUCAGCAGCAUGAAAAUGGACUAAUACAAAGUUCCCUCUAAUUCUAUGUUAGAAGCCUGUUUUAGAAGGGCUUCCACGAUUAUUUUAAUGAGAGCAAACUGGUUCAUGAGUACACCGGGCAACACACGGGCACUUUCACAGGAAAGUUAAGAGCAUCUUCCGCCAAAGGAGAGCCAGAGGCCAGUCAGGAAAAGGAAGGAUUUCUUAAUAAUAGGAGGUCUUUCGCUAUUCCAGUGUCCUGCCGCAAAAUGAUAGUACAGACCUGGCUGCUAGUCCCCUAGAGUGCCCAGUGCUUCCUUUUCUAGAACUGAGACAAAUAAAAAGUAAACUCCAGUUCUGGAGUCCUGUUUUGCAGGCCCCGUUCCCAAAUGUCAGCUCCUAAUGGGCAACAGCUGCCUCUGUGGUUUCUUCUAGGCAAGUGAUUCAUGUCUUUGCUCAGAAACGAUAAGCAGAACAAAUGUUUGCUUAGACAUAUAACAGAGGGACAAUUGGAAAACAGGAGACUGGCAACUGGAAAUAGUUUGCAGCUAUUUGAUCCAUGAUAAUUAGUCUGAAUUAGUCAUAUGGUGCUCACUGGCCAGGCCUUUGGGCCAGAGGCAGCGUGGGGGAAUAGACAGCUGGUCUUCCUGGAAAAGAAGUGCAGAAGGGAACAUAGCAGACACAGAGGUUUGCUCAGAACACGUCAGAUUGGCUCUUGCCCUCUCAAAGGUGACCCGUCUUGACCAUCUGCCUUAGUUGCACUCCAUACCGGAUCCGGGUCCCCAGCCUGGAAAUGAGUGGAGAGGCAGAAACUACACACCCAUGGGAGAUGCCUCUAAAAUCCAUUAACAAUUUUUUACACACUCAGAAGUUAAAGUAAACAAUAGGUUGAAUUUUGUGUGUGUGCAGGUGGGAAAAAGCUUCAAAAAUAUCCAGACACCCACAUUCAUUGGAUUUUAAUCUUAGGGAUCAUGUUAGGUAUACUGACUCAUUUAAGAGAUAUAUGGACCUUGAAUUUGGAACCUAAAAGUGGGACUUUGAGUGGAAUUUUCAGUCUGAUUAUGUUGAUAUAAUUUAAGAUCUUGUAGCCUACAUUAUACUUAUACAGAAUGUACUCCUGUGGUCAUGCUCCAAUACAUUAUUUAGCAGAUCUAUCAUAAAUAUUUUUCUUUCUGUGAGAAAAGGUUUCACUCUGUCCCCCAGGCUGGAGUGCAAUGGCACAAUCAUGGCUGACUACAGCCUCAACCUCCUGGGCUCAAGCAAUCCUCCCACCUCAGUCUCCCGAGUAGCUGGGUCUACAGGUGCCCUCCACGACCACGCCCAGCUAAUUUUUUUUUUUUUUUUUUUUUUUUUUUUUUUGUAGAUACUGGGUUUCGACAUGUUGCCCAGGCUCGUUAUCAUGAAUAUUUCUAUGAGAAGGGAGAAAAGUCAGAUACAUUCAAUAUUUCAGCCAAAAAAAAGAAAAGCUACAUUUUUGUCAAAAACUUCUCAGACCAUUUUUUGCAGAGUCAGGAGGAAAAACAAAAAGUGAAGCCCACAAACCCGACCCCCUCCUCACCUCAGAUUAGAAUCUGUAAUAUUGGAGGCCUCUGGGAGUAGAAUUUAAGUCACUAGGAAGGUGGACACAUCGGCAAAGCCAGCCCGGAGCUGAGUAGGGCAUCGACUGCUUUACCAGCAAACAUGAACGAAGCUAAUUUUG